ensembl:lncRNA
GCAGGUCGGCCCUGGGGAACUGCGCAUUGGAGAGAGGAGGGCCGAGGUUGUGCGGGACGGAGCGGGUGGGGGUGUCGCACAGAGCCUGAGGUGGAAAGGUGGUGAGCAGAUGUGAUGAAGUGACUUUCGACUGAUGUUUCCCGAAAGCGGCAACACGUGUCCCUCUUACCCGGCUGGUGCAGUCCUCUCGUCUACAGAUGUGUCGCUUGAUGUACCCUUCGGAUGGCACACUGCCACUUAAUAAAAUAUCAAUCCUGCUUUGACAGGGAAGCCUUAAUUGAGUCCCUCGUCAGUUUUAUCAAACUGUGUGUUUUUUGUCGUUUGAAACUUUCCUCCUCUAUAUCCCCUUCAGUCUCUCUCUUGCUCUUAUGGAAUAUGCUAGUAGUUGAAUUCCUCUGUAACGAAAAGAGACGGAGGGCGGUGCUGGGAAAGAAGAACAAAGUGAAAGAAAGAAAACACUGGAACGGAAAGAAAAAAUAAGAACAAGCGCAAAAGUGGGAGAGAGCAGGAGAAAAUCGCCCAAGAGAGACGGUGCGAAGAAAAAACCCUUUGGAGGCUAUUUCGUCAUUGGAUUCAUAAUUCAGGUUCAUGAUUUUAAUUUCCCUCUGUUCUUAUCAAAGGCCGGUGGAGCAGCAGGGGGAAGGCUGGUAGUUAGCUGGGUAACUGCAUAUGAGAUGAGCUGCAGCGCUCCGUCACAACGCCUGGACGACAUAAUAGGGAUGUAAAUUUGCUCAGAACAACAUUCACUCACAACAAAUUCCUCUCCCAAACAAAACCCCGCAUUCAUGUGUUGUUUGCGAGACCUUUUUCUUUGACAUCAUCUACAUUUUCCCUCAGAAGCCAUAAGAAAUCUCUGGCCCUCCAAAGUAUAUUAAAUCACACAGAAAGACGAAAUGCUUGUUUAAAGACCUACGAAAAAGCUUGCAGAUGAAUAAUGAAUUUCCAUUGUGUGUGACUGCAGUCUUUUGAUAACAUUCUCUUGUAUGUCUAUAAUAAAAAUGUCGCUCUAUCAAAGUGUAUUCGUCUAUUGCAAUGUAGUAACAUUGUCACAAACUAAUACAGCCACUGGGCCACUGUUUUAAAGUUGGUAGCUUUUAGAUUUAGAGUUUGUUUCAGGCAGUUUGAGUCGCCCAUAAAGUAUCGUAAAACUGAGUAAUAAUUAAGCAAUAAGGUACGAGAGGCUGUACUUUAUCAUCCAAUAAUGUAACAGUUUCGGGGGUGUUGUUAGGCCCGCCACUGCGCGUCGUUGAGUUAACCCUCAAACAAAUAAUAUAAUAAUAAUUCUACUUGUAAUAAAAUGGGUGCAAACUUAUUUGUUCAGUGUACGCCACCACUACGUUGUGCGUGGUGUGUAAAUUUGAAGCGACUGUUGAUGCAUCCUCAAACUGUCCUUACUUUGAAGGCUAAAGGAACUACAUGCAUACAAACACCAUUACAUUUCUGUUUCUUCAUUUCUGAUUUCUUCCCUCUGUGUCAUCUUAUAUAUAUAUAUUUUCCCUCGCCUUUCUCUUGUCUCCUACAUUCUCUGCAUCUCGCUCAUUCACUGUCCAUCCCUCCUUUCGGUCCCUCUCUCACCGUUUCCCUUUCUUUCUGUCUAUAUUGCUUUGUCUUUGGUGCUUACAGGUCUCUGCAAUGCCACUUUACUUCCCAGUCAGCCGUUUGAUCAUUAAUUUAUCACAGUUCCAGCAGUUUGUUUGACAGGUGCUUUCAUCUGACUAGCACCAUGGCAUUGCUGAAUGAACAAGGGACCUAUAUGU